UUGUCGACAAGAUCUUCUUCUUCUUGGGAAACUGAUGCCAUUACUUGUAGCUGCCAAUUUCGACUUGAAAUUUUCAAGCUCCCCAGAGUGUCCCAAAAACACUUCUGAAGAUUUACCUUCAGCAUCAACACUGUCACCAGCUUCAUUUCGUCUGAGGGCACUAAUCUCGAUUGUACAGUUUGCUUCUUCUCCACAACCACUAGACACAUUCUCAGCUCUUUUC
rnacentral:misc_RNA from 1 species